rnacentral:rRNA from 1 species
CCUACGGGGGGCAGCAGUGGGGAAUAUUGGACAAUGGGGGCAAUCCUGAUCCAGCCAUGCCGCGUGUGUGAAGAAGGCCCUCGGGUUGUAAAGCACUUUCAGUGAGGAAGAACGCCUGGUGGUUAAUACCCAUCAGGAAAGACAUCACUCACAGAAGAAGCACCGGCUAACUCCGUGCCAGCAGCCGCGGUAAUACGGAGGGUGCGAGCGUUAAUCGGAAUUACUGGGCGUAAAGCGCGCGUAGGUGGCUUGAUAAGCCGGUUGUGAAAGCCCCGGGCUCAACCUGGGAACGGCAUCCGGAACUGUCAAGCUAGAGUGCAGGAGAGGAAGGUAGAAUUCCCGGUGUAGCGGUGAAAUGCGUAGAGAUCGGGAGGAAUACCAGUGGCGAAGGCGGCCUUCUGGACUGACACUGACACUGAGGUGCGAAAGCGUGGGUAGCAAACAGGAUUAGAUACCCUAGUAGUC